GAGAGAGGAACCAAGGCAGGAUGAAGACAUUGCUUGUGCUUGUGCUGUCUCUCACCUUGCUGACUUCCUUUCCAGAGGCUUCCCCGAUUCUGAAGGAAAAGGAGGCCAAACAGCUCCUGAGAUCCCGGCGACAGGACCGGCCCAGCAAACCCGGAUUCCCCGACGAGCCAAUGCGGGAGUACAUGCACUACCUGCUCGCCCUGGAGCACCGCGCGGAGGAGCAGUUCCUGGAGCACUGGCUGAACCCUCACUGCAAACCCCACUGCGACAGGAACAGAGUCCACCCCGUGUAAGGGGCUUGGGACCAGCCAUGAUCCUGGAUAGGGGAGGGAUUUGGCCCUAUUUGCCAUUCAGAGAAGAUCAGUCUGGAAUCCAAAUCUGGAGACACGUGGCUUGUUGAGACUUGGGUCUCCCCAGCAAGCAUUUUAUAUGCAAUGACCUGAAUAAUGUUGAAACAAGACACGUCUCCUUCUUUUGUUUGUUGUUAAACUGUGGAAAUGGAUGUCUUCAGAUCUUGUGAAUGCUGGGUGUGCCACAGUUUGCCUCGGGGAUGAGGCAAAAUAUAUAUCCUGCUUCAUUUUACUAACCUGCAUAAAUCAUUAAAACUAAUAGCUUAAGCUAUAGACUCCUCAAAGAUCUUUCUACCAGUUUGUACGGGUGGACAGAACAAGCACCUUACAUGGGCUGAUGGAGCUGGAGCCUCCAGACCCGGCGUUUGGGGCAGGCUGCCUGUCCUAAGGAAUUGGGGAAGUCUUGUUCAGAGCAGUGAAGCACACCAUUUGGGGCUCCUGAGAUUUUUAUCAUCUAUUUCUUUUUCCUCUUC